UACGAAGGGUGCAAGCGUUAAUCGGAAUUACUGGGCGUAAAGCGUGCGUAGGCGGUUGUUUAAGUCUGCUGUGAAAUCCCCGGGCUCAACCUGGGAAUGGCGAUGGAUACUGGCGAGCUAGAGUGUGUCAGAGGAUGGUGGAAUUCCCGGUGUAGCGGUGAAAUGCGUAGAGAUCGGGAGGAACAUCAGUGGCGAAGGCGGCCAUCUGGGACAACACUGACGCUGAAGCACGAAAGCGUGGGGAGCAAACAGG
rnacentral:rRNA from 1 species